CAGCCGCCACGGUAAUACGGAGGGAGCUAGCGUUGUUCGGAAUUACUGGGCGUAAAGCGCGCGUAGGCGGUUACUCAAGUCAGAGGUGAAAGCCCGGGGCUCAACCCCGGAACUGCCUUUGAAACUAGGUGACUAGAAUCUUGGAGAGGUCAGUGGAAUUCCGAGUGUAGAGGUGAAAUUCGUAGAUAUUCGGAAGAACACCAGUGGCGAAGGCGACUGACUGGACAAGUAUUGACGCUGAGGUGCGAAAGCGUGGGGAGCAAACAGGAUUAGAUACCCGCGUAGUCCCUGUCUCUUAUAC
rnacentral:rRNA from 1 species